rnacentral:rRNA from 1 species
CACUGACGUCGCGACGCAUAUCAAUAAGCGGAGGAAAAGAAACUAACAAGGAUUCCCUUAGUAACGGCGAGUGAAGCGGGAAGAGCUCAAAUUUGAAAUCUUCAAGGUUCUACCUUGACGAAUUGUAGUUUAAAGAAGUGUUUUCUGUUAGUGGAGUGGCAAAAGUUCUUUGGAAUAGGACAUCAUAGAGGGUGAGAAUCCCGUAUUUGGUCAUUCCUUCUAGCUUUGUGAUACACUUUCAAAGAGUCGGAUUGUUUGGGAAUGCAGUCCAAAAUGGGUGGUAAAUUUCAUCUAAAGCUAAAUAUUGGCGAGAGACCGAUAGCGAACAAGUACCGUGAGGGAAAGAUGAAAAGAACUUUGAAAAGAGAGUUAAACAGUACGUGAAAUUGUCAAAAGGGAAGCGUUUGACACCAGUGUUGUUUUUCCGAAAAUCAAUUAUAAAUGUUUUGUUUCUGAGGAGUGAUGACUUCAUCGGCUUCCUUCUCUCUUCACGAAACUUUUGUAAUGCACUUUUCGGUUAACAAGUCAACAUCAAUUUCUUUUGUUGUAAAAGAGUAUUCGGAAGGUGGCUUUCUUUUCGGAGAAAGUGUUUAUAGCCCUAUACUUCUACAAUCGGAGAGAUUGAGGUCUGCAGCGUAGAUCCUUCGGGGUUAGAUACACUUGUGCUAAGUUAUAGCUUUUCAUAGACAACUUGUUGACUAUGUUUAGUCAUGCUGACUUACCCGCUUAUGCUAUUUUACCUACGCUUAGGAUGUUGAGUCGUAGAGCACGCAG